rnacentral:lncRNA from 1 species
UCCAUGGUGAAGAAGAGAUGAUCCCUGGAUCCGUUCUGAUUAGUGAUGCUGUUUUUCUGGAGUUGGUCGAUGCCCUGAAUCAGUACUCAGAUGAGGAGGAGGAAGGGCACAAUGACACCUCAGAUGGAAAGCAGGAUGACAGCAAAGAAGAUCUGCCAGUAACAAGAAAGAGAAAGCGACAUGCUAUUGAAGGUAUCGAGAACUAACAGAGAUGUCAGACCCCAAUGCACUUCCCCCUCAGUGCACACCCAACAUCGAUGGCCCCAAUGCCAAGUCUGUGCAGCGGGAGCAAUCUCUGCACUCCUUCCACACACUUUUUUGCCGGCGCUGCUUUAAAUACGACUGCUUCCUUCACCGUGAGUGGGGCUACUCUGUUUGAAAUGCUCUCCUCUCUUCCAUCCCCAGCCACCAUUUCCUUCUCUUUGUUCUGGUUUCUCGUAUAGAGUUCCUGGCUUCUGUUCUAACGUUUUACAAAGGGCCAGUUCUAUUUUCCCUUGCUCAAUUAUAGUGCAACAUGCUUUGCAUGAUAGGGACAGACUAACUAGCAACUUAUCUGUCCCUCAGUACCUCUUAGCUUUGAAAGCAUUGUGUUGAUGUCAGAAAUGACUGAAUUUUGUGCACCCUGAUGGUAGCCGUUUAUAUCGAAUUCUAACUCCUACAAUAGCUCUCUAAUUCACUUUUGUUUCUCCCCAUCUUGUCAAGUGGAUAGACCACUGGCAACAAGACAGUUUUUGUUUUCCAGCUUUUCAUGCCACCCCUAAUGUAUAUAAACGCAAGAAUAAAGAAAUCAAGAUUGAACCAGAA